ACGGUCCAAAAUCCUCAUGAAGGUUAAAGCCAAAAUCCCUCAGCCCAGCAGCAUCUUCACAACGCACGACAGCUGGAAUUGUGUGAUUCGUGACAUCGCAUCCGAAUGAGGAAAAUGACUGGCACACUGUAAAGCAUCUGAUAUUAUUCCCCCAAGAAGAAUGCUGCAACAGAACAACAACAAUAACUGCUUGGACAUGGCCCAUAGGGAGCUACUGCAUGAAUGCCGAAGAACCAAUGUCUCAUUCGCCAGUGCCCUUGAGUUUGGAGCCAUACCCCUGAUUAAAGGCCUGAGAGCAUGGGCUGUGAGUGGCGGCUACUCUAAAGCCAGACGAAAGGCCGCUAAUGGAUCUCGGGCACAGGGCACAUGCCAACAGCCUCCUGAAAACAGGCUAGGGCAGAGAAGCUGGUCAGGUCAGGUCAGCAGUGGCUAUGGGCACACAAUGGAGAGCACAAUUAGUGCAACCAGAACUCCAGGGGUCAGGCAAGGCGGUCUUGGCGCUCUUGUAACUGUGGCCACUUUGAAGGGCACUGAGGGGGGUGGUAGGCAGACUCAGACACGCUGCCUCUUUCUCAAGGCCCAGGGCAGGGGCAGCUACAUCUGUGCUGUUGGAAACCGCGGGACUGGGACGAGAGUCACGGCUCCACGGACUCACGCUGUCAUUCUUGAGGGGACAAAGGAAGAGCUUAGAUGUUCCUCUAAAGGGCAGAAGGUGAGCCAGGAUGGGCCAGACAGUGGUGGAUUGUUCAAGGCCAAGCCCAGGGCCAUACGAAAAUGGAGGAAAUGCGGUAAAACAAUGGAGAAAAGAACAGCGGCUCAUGGCAAAGGGGAAAACACUAGUCAGCGCAGUGACCAAAAAAGUUCAGUGAUUUCAGAUGCACAACCACUUAACAUAACACAAGGCCAGACGGGUAGCUAUCCAAGUCAGGACGACUUGAAGUUGAAGGGCAAAGACAAAAGGGCUCAUUCCCCCAUAUUAGUGAAAGCUGUCACACCCAAGAGCACAGAUCCACAAACCUGCUGCUCUUCUGCCAAACCAUGUGCCAAACCAGGUGAGCAGGUUGAAGAUGAGAUGAGCCUUAAUCAAUCCGAUAACUGUUCUGAAAAAGAAUUCAGUUGUGCCAAUGUGCAAGGAGACACUGAGGUCAGUAAAUGUGACCUUGAUGCAAAUGAUCGCCAGAACUUUGUUGCUGAUGUGCCAAACCUAGGGUCAUCUGUAGCAUCUGAGACUCACUCUGAUAGUCUAAGAAUCAAAUUGACCACAACAAACUGUAAUACUGAGCCAAGCAUGGAUCAUUCUCCCAUGAUAACUCCCUCCGAAGUCCCUAUCAGCAUUCAGAAGAAUCAAGAAUCCAGGCCAGACGAGCGCCUACUAGACCGUGAGAAUCUACACUCGGUGGAGCCCGGCGAUCUUGCAACACAGAGAGAUGGGACUCCAUACACAAAGAAUACAGUUUUGCCGGAGGACCGCACUCCAGUGGGUGCUGAAUGUAGCACCACAGAAAAGAAAAGUAGGCCGUCCAUGUGCUCACCUCAGCAUUGGGAGGAAUUAAUCACAAAGCAUGGAGAACAUGAAGUUCAGCAGUCUGACAAAUCCUCUUCACGAGGCUUUAGCGCAACAACAGCCAAUAUAACUGUAACCACUAUUCACUCCCUGGUUAAUCCUGCCCCUACCACCACCACAGCCAUAGCAACAGCCAUCCCAGCAUUAAGCGAGGCGGAGGCGGGGGCUAGAGGUGGAGACUUGCUGCCUCUGGUGAACUCAGAGUUGCUAUCAGAGCCAGCAAGAGUUGACGACAAGGACAAGGUGGCCGCUGACGAGGGGUCUCUUGAUGUGGGCGAGGAGGAGGAGGAGGAGUUUGGGGCAUUCAUGCAGGCAGGUGGAGAGCAGCUGUGGACGGAUGGGUUCAGUGAGGUCCAACAGUUGGCUGAGGAUUACAACUGUGAGGAACACACAAGUUCUGCUGAUGCAAAUGAACCCGCAUCCUGGGCAUCUGAUUGGACUGCAGUCCAGUCAUUCCAGCAGUCAGAGAGCACAUGGACUGCCUUCAGCCAGGAGACUGUGGAGCAGAAGAUAGUGCCUGGUGGCCAUUGGUGGCCUUCUACCGAAAAACCAAACCUUCCUCUCUCUCCUCUCCAUAAUGUGUCAAAUGUGUUUCUAGAGGCCUUUCCCUCAGAAAAGUCCCCCUGUGAAGAUCCUGAAUACAUUCCUACACUAAAGCAGCUUCUGCAAGGACCAGCUGAAAACAGCAAUACAGGGGAGCACAAGGAGCAGAGCUUACUUGAUGGCCUCCAGGAUCUAGACCGGAUGAUUGGUGUGAAAUAUAAGAGGGCGGAGUCUCUGUCCUGUAAACUUCUCCUUCAGUCACUGCAUUUGCAACGUCCCAGCUCUGAAUGUGCGACAGUUCGACUGAAGACCAGUGCCAGGUUUUCUCCAAAUCUCCCAACGUCCAACCAGCAAUUAGCUGCAAAUGCUAAGAGAAGACUGUCAUAUGACUUCAACAGAAAUAUUAUGACCUAGUCUCUAUAUCUGCCGAAACAUCUUUGACCUAUGCUUCCUUGAAAACAGGAAAUACAGGACAGAGGAAAAAUACAUGCUGAAAAACUGAGUUUCCAUAGAUCGACUUCUAUUCGAGGUUUAUUUAAAGUGUAUUUCUUCUUUCAGUGUCUGGUAGAUUCUGUUUCUCAUUCAGCUGUGUAUCAAGACACACUAGACCCAUGUUUAACCAAAUAUAUGUUUUUUAGGACAAAUAUAAAAAAUGUCAAGUUAAAAACCCCUUUGCCAAAUUGUUCGGUCCAGUUAUUGGAGUCUGGUUAUUGGACCCAUUUUGAUAUAACUGAUAUAUUCAGAUGAAAAUAUGUCAGUAUGUAUUUGUGUAUUACUUUCAAUCAUUGCUAUGGAUUUUAUUUGUUAGAAUAAGAAUAUUUUUCUGGAGUCAUAGCAAACCAGUUAGUGCACAUUCUCACAGGCAUGUAGAUUCAUAUCUGGCCUGUCACAUCCUGAACCACGUCCCAAACUUUCCUUUCUACUGUCUCACAUGACGUACUGUACAAUUGAAUAAAAAAAUAAUAAUGUGAUUUUAGGGGGAUUAGGAUCAACUCUAGCUCCCCGCGCAAUCUCUCCUUCACCUGUCUGAAACUGUCAAAGCAAAUUUCCACAAAAUGUAUUUUCAUACACCACCUCACACAGAAAUCAAUUUUCUUGUUUCCAUGUCUUUUUUCCCUGUGCUUGAAGUACUAAAUAUAACACUGUAGUGUACCAUUUUUAACUGCUGACGAAUAGAGACCAUAUUUUCAGAAGUGUUUUAAAAUGAAUGUCGACAUUUUAAAUUGAACCUGUAAGCUUGUUUGUUGAUUGAUGUAAUUAAAACAUCUUUGAAUGACUGAAUGAAGUGGAUAACUGGGGGAUCAACC
rnacentral:lncRNA from 1 species